GAUGAACGCUGGCGGCGUGCUUAACACAUGCAAGUCGAACGAUGAAGCCCAGCUUGCUGGGUGGAUUAGUGGCGAACGGGUGAGUAACACGUGAGUAACCUGCCCUUAACUCUGGGAUAAGCCUGGGAAACUGGGUCUAAUACCGGAUAGGAGCGUCCACCGCAUGGUGGGUGUUGGAAAGAUUUAUCGGUUUUGGAUGGACUCGCGGCCUAUCAGCUUGUUGGUGAGGUAAUGGCUCACCAAGGCGACGACGGGUAGCCGGCCUGAGAGGGUGACCGGCCACACUGGGACUGAGACACGGCCCAGACUCCUACGGGAGGCAGCAGUGGGGAAGAUUGCACAAUGGGCGCAAGCCUGAUGCAGCGACGCCGCGUGAGGGAUGACGGCCUUCGGGUUGUAAACCUCUUUCAGUAGGGAAGAAGCGAAAGUGACGGUACCUGCAGAAGAAGCACCGGCUAACUACGUG
rnacentral:rRNA from 1 species